GCUUACGGCCAUACCAGCCUGGGUACGCCCGAUCUCGUCUGAUCUCGGAAGCUAAGCAGGGUCGGGCCUGUUUAGUACUUGGAUGGGAGACCGCCUGGGAAUACCAGGUGCUGUAAGCA
rnacentral:rRNA from 1 species